UAACCUACGGGGGGCAGCAGUGGGGAAUAUUGGGCAAUGGGCGCAAGCCUGACCCAGCAACGCCGCGUGAAGGAAGAAGGCUUGCGGGUUGUAAACUUCUUUUCUCAGGGACGAAGCAAGUGACGGUACCUGAGGAAUAAGCCACGGCUAACUACGUGCCAGCAGCCGCGGUAAUACGUAGGUGGCAAGCGUUAUCCGGAUUUACUGGAUGUAAAGGGCGUGUAGGCGGGGACGCCAGUCAGAUGUGAAAACCAUGGGCUCAA
rnacentral:rRNA from 1 species